GACACUUCACCAGUGCAGGUUGGUGACUGGGUGUUUGUGGAGGCCAUAAAAAGGAAGUGUUGGUCCAGCCCACGGGGGGAAGGGCCAUUCCAAGUCCUGCUGACUACACCAACAGCUGUAAAGAUUGCUGAAAGGACGUCUUGGAUCCACCUGUCACACUGCAAGAAAAAGCAUCUGGGUGAGGCUAAUUCCAACUGCUAGGUGGGGAAGUCUGACUACAAAGGGAGGCAGCUGUAUAGAAGCUGCUUGUCUCAACGUCAGCGAAGCCGAGACAUCCACCUAGUCUUAGGGAAGAAAGCACACCAGAACUCUUUUGCACUACACGGAUCCUACACUGUUAGAGGACUUGAGGAGGUGAUGUGCUAGUAACCUCUCCCUCCCGAAGAUAGGUACAUAUCCACCAUGGCGUGUCCAACUGGGCUAAGAGACAGUUUAUUUUGUUUACUGUUCCUGCUAUUCCUGACAGGAGCCACCACAUGGAUUUGGUUCUUUUGGAAUCAUUAUCCACCCGCAAGAAGAACCACCAGUGAGGAAAGAAACAUUUCUCGACGAUGGCUGAGUAUUGAUGAACAUGAUGUUUUGAAUAGUCCAAAAAUGAACAUAACUCACCUGUAUAUGACAAAUUCUUGGUAUAGGUAUGUUAUGUUACUGACUGACUAAAGAAUAGAUCGGAUUGCUAUGUUUGUUCUGUAAUUGAAGCUUCAUCCCUACAUCCUAAUUUGCAGGCAAAGCAAUUUUCUGAGUGGAAAAGCGACUGUGUUAUUGAAUAUAGUACCAGAGGGUAUAUUAGUACUGGAGCCGUCACCACUUCAAAUGGAACUCUUGUAAGACCGAGUUGUAAGAGUUUGUAUCAGUUUAAAAAACUGAAAUUGACAAAAUCAUUAGCUCCAUAUGCUAGUGUGGAACCAGGAACUGUGUUUCCACAUUGCGUAACUAACAAUGGCACAGAGUUUUUAGGAACUUUGCCGACGAAGAUGUGUCAUGAACUUCUUGUUCCCUUCACAGUCCAGAUAAUCAAUGACAGAGUUUCCCAUGGUUAUGCAGUUCCCUGCCCCAGAGGACGUUGUGUUGGAUCUAAUCCAGAUUUAAUUCCAGGUAACAAUGGUACUUAUGUGGUUGAUCAAAUGUUUUGGUUAUGUGGGCAGGCCCUCUACCUCAGUCUGCCUAGAGACUGGAGUGGGAUUUGUGCUCCCGUAAAGGUCACAGAUCACACUUUCAUAGUUUCUGCAGUCCAUGAGCCUCACCUGCGCCACAGACGUAACCUUAUUGAUGUCAAGCCACAUGAUUCCAUUUGGGGAUCAGAUGUACCUGGAGACCAUAAACUCUGGAAUACGGGGCAAAAGAUGAAGGUCACAGCAUCACUGAAGCAUUACAUCAACUUGAAUAGGUUCAACAGGCAAUGCAGGAUGACAGGAAACCCCAAUCUUGGGAUUUCUUCUCCUGGUUUGCUUUUGGUUCCUGGUAGCAACUUUGUUAAAAAUAGUGACACCUAUUCUUAUGGUACUGAUCAUAUGUUGUGUGUUCACUAUGUGCAUUUUUCCUUGUAUUCAAUCUAUGAUUUCCAGAGCAGUGAAUGGUGGAGUACAAAGUGUUCUUCUGAGUCAAGAAUACAACUUGUUAUUAAAGGGAGAACAAGAUGACUGUAAUGAUUUUGAAAUUGAAAUGACUUGAAAAAAAAAAAAAAAAAAAAAAAAA